UUCGACAAAGGUAAACUCUGAGUGAUCAGGGGGCGCAAAGUAAAGGGUCUUUCUCCACAGUUGAGAUAGAGUGCAUCUCUUAUAAAAUAAAAAGAUAGCCUUACUGCCGAAG
rnacentral:ncRNA from 1 species